rnacentral:other from 1 species
GCAGGCCAGAACCCCCGCCCGGAUCUACAAGUCAAAUAUCCCAUUUGUCUUCCCCGCAUGGAACUGCGGUUCUCUGACGCUUUUGCAGUCCUUCAGCAGUACCCCUCGUUUUUCAAUCAGCACAUGCAAUAGCAUCAGAGGUAUCCAUCAUGGCUACAGGCACCGUUAAGUGGUUCAGUGACGAAAAAGGCUUUGGCUUCAUCGCCCCGUCCGACGGCUCCAAGGACGUAUUCGUUCACCACAGCGCCAUCCAGGGCAGUGGCUUCAAGUCGCUCGCCGAAGGUCAGACCGUGACCUUCGACAUCGAGCAAGGCCAGAAAGGCCCGGCAGCGGCGAACGUGUCCGUCUAAGACACCGCCCUCCCGCUCGAAAAAAAUCCCGCCUCGCGCGGGAUUUUUUUA